GCGCCACCACCCCCCUCCCCCCAAAAACCAAUCAUUUUCACGCAAAACUCGAGGUGUCCCCGUCCGGGCCGUGCUUCGCUGUUGCCCCACAGGCAAAGUCCCCCCACCCCAACCCGGUGUGGGACACAAAAUGCUCGGGGCCCUGGCGGGGGGGGGGGGGCGCGCCCCGAGGUCGCGAACGCGGGUCCGCUGAAGCCGCACGUCCCCGCGGGGCGGGCCCGGGAAUCUGCGCCCAGCCCGGCCGCUCGGCCGCGGGCAGCCCGCCGCGGGUUCGUGCCAGCCCCGGAGCGCGCCGGCCCGGCUCCCCGCCACCGCCCGGAUUCUCCUCAACCCCGCUCCCCCGGCCGCUCCGCGCCGGCUUCUCCUUGUGCCUGGCCCUCCCGAGCCCCGGGCCCCCAAGCUCUGGGCCCGCCCCCACUCACUGCGCGGCAGCGGCGGCGGCGGCCGGGCCGGGAGACGCCGGCGGCCGGAGAGCGGGAGCCUGAGGACAAGCGAGCCUGCGCCCAGCGGCGGAGGCGGCGGCGGCGGCGGCGGCAGUGGCGGCGGCGGCGGCAGAGCGGACGACUGAGCCCGCGCCCGGAGUUGCGGCUCCUGCCGCCCCGCGCGGGCGGCGCCUUCCCAGCAGAGCCGCGGCGCCACGAGCGCGGGCGCCCCCUACCGGCGGCGCGGGCGGGAGGUCAGAGGACCAAGAGGCCAGAGGAACUCAGCCUGGGCCGCGCGGUCAGGCUGGCUCCGCCGCAGUCCCGAAAGCCCGCCCCGAAGCCUCAGUCCCGCCCCCGAGGCUCCGCCUCUGAAACCCUGGGCCCCGCCCAGAACCCGCCUCUUCGUCCCGCCUCCGCCCGCAGUUUGGAAUCAGCCCAGCCCCCGGCGGUUUUCACUGUGUCCUCCGACCUAGGAUCCCUACAGCUGUUUCUCUUGUUUCACGAACGUGUAUGGGGCCCGGACCGUGUACAGCGGCCACCAAGACAGAAGGGUGUCCUAAUGAGAGGAGAAAACAGACAAGACCCAAGGAAACAGCCAGUAGACAAAAAAAUGACAAGUUGUGAUUCUAAGUGUUGA
rnacentral:lncRNA from 1 species